CGUUCUAUAGCCAAAUUGGUAAAGGCAUCGCCGAUCACAGGCCAGGUUGCGGGUUUGAGUCCCGCUUGAAUGG
rfam:Operophtera brumata OBRT01_Sc03548, whole genome shotgun sequence.